UCUUUAGUAUGCCAUUAGUGUCAGGAGACUUGAGUACUCCAGUGUAAUACCAAUUCUCAAUUUCCCAUUCGGUUUUGUUAACUGCCAGCUGUACACAUUAAAAAAAGUUAUCUUUUCAUAAUUCCAAGCAAAAGAUAUGCAUAGAAUUAAAGAUGCUCAUGUGUUCAUAAUUGACCCCAUAGGCUCAUCCAUGUCUAGCCCACCUCUCUUAAUUUUGUACCCACUUGAUAGCAUACCCUAGAUAAGGGUAGCAAUGGGUUGGCUAUGGGUCGAGUAGGCCAUUAUCUGUACUCCAUGAUACUUACCUAAAAAAUUGGGUGGGGCAGGAUAGAUAGAGUCUUGAGAUGAAUAGAGUUAUGCAGGUAGAUUGGAUGGAUU
rnacentral:lncRNA from 1 species